CUACUUUUCAUUUUAGUUCCUUGCUCAGACGCUAUUUUCUCCCACUUGUUCUUUCAUUUCUUUUGUUGUUUCCUCACCAAGCUUUCGGAACAAUUGAAUCCUCUUAUAAUCAUCCAAGAGUACAGGUAAGAAUUUUUAUAGUCAAGUAUUCUAUUCACAAUAGAAAUUAGAGAAAACAAUAAUUCUCUUAUCUACUCUGUUUGUUUUGUUUCGAAAGUGGGGGCUGGAAGGAUAGGCUUCAUAUUCAUAUUUUAUCUUAAUUUCUCUAUGCUUUCAAUUAGAGACUGAUUAGAAUUUAGUGAUAGGAUGAAAACAAUCAAAGCUAGAUAAAACCCCCAAUGUCGAUUCCCUCAAGAACCCUAGAAUUCCAUCUUCUUAAUUUCCAUCAAUUGGCUGCGUAUAUAUAUUUAUAUGUUUGUGAGGGAAUCAUUGAGAUUUAUUUGAGUUUUUAUUUGCAAGAAAUCAUAAUUUUCUAAUAGUUUAGUUUCAAUGGAUGUGGGAAUUCUUGAUAUAAGAUAGCUACAUGUUUGAUGCUUGUGUAAUUGUACUCUUUGAGUUGUAAAAUGAGAUCAUACGAUAGUAAUUGGGGGAUAUCAAGCAUGCUACUAUAUGUUGAUGUGUUAAACAUGAAUUAAGUUUAAGCUAAAGC
rnacentral:lncRNA from 1 species